rnacentral:rRNA from 1 species
ACGGAAUAGAUACCCAGGUAGUCCACGCCGUAAACGUUGGGCGCUAGGUGUGGGGGCCAUUCCACGGUCUCCGUGCCGCAGCUAAACGCAUUAAGCGCCCCGCCUGGGGAGUACGGCCGCAAGGCUAAAACUCAAAGGAAUUGACGGGGGCCCGCACAAGCGGCGGAGCAUGUUGCUUAAAUUCGAUGCAACGCGAAGAACCUUACCUAGGCUUGACAUGCACGGAAAUCUCGCAGAGAUGCGGGGUCCGUAAGGGUCGUGCACAGGUGGUGCAUGGUUGUCGUCAGCUCGUGUCGUGAGAUGUUGGGUUAAGUCCCGCAACGAGCGCAACCCUCGUCCCAUGUUGCCAGCGGGUUAUGCCGGGGACUCAUGGGAGACUGCCGGGGUCAACUCGGAGGAAGGUGGGGAUGACGUCAAAUCAUCAUGCCCCGUUAUGUCUAGGGCUGCAAACAUGCUACAAUGGCCGGUACAAAGGGCUGCGAUACCGCGAGGUGGAGCGAAUCCCAAAAACGCCGGUCUCAGUUCGGAUUGGGGUCUGCAA